rnacentral:rRNA from 1 species
UGAUGGCUGAGACACGAUGCGGAUAAAAAGUGGGUGAUCCUAUGCUGCCGAGAAAAGCAUCGACGCGAGGUUCUAGCUGCCCGUACCCCAAACCGACUCAGGUGGUCAGGUAGAGAAUACUAAGGAGAUCGAGAGAAUCGUGGUUAAGGAACUCGGCAAAAUGCCCCCGUAACUUCGGGAGAAGGGGGGCCUUCCACUUAUUAGGAUUUACUCCGAAAGGGUGUGGAGGCCGCAGAGACUAGUGGGUAGCGACUGUUUACUAAAAACACAGGUCCGUGCCAAGUCGCAAGACGAUGUAUACGGACUGACGCCUGCCCGGUGCUGGAAGGUUAAGAGGACCGGUUAGCCGCAAGGCGAAGCUGAGAAUUUAAGCCCCAGUAAACGGCGGUGGUAACUAUAACCAUCCUAAGGUAGCGAAAUUCCUUGUCGGGUAAGUUCCGACCUGCACGAAUGGCGUAACGACUUCCCAACUGUCUCAACCGCGAACUCGGCGAAAUUGCACUACGAGUAAAGAUGCUCGUUACGCGCAGCAGGACGGAAAGACCCCGUGACCUUUACUACAGCUUGGUAUUGGUGUUCGGUGUGGCUUGUGUAGGAUAGGUGGGAGACUUUGAAGCGGUGACGCCAGUUACCGUGGAGUCAUUGUUGAAAUACCACUCUGGUCACUCUGGAUAUCUAACUUCGAACCGUAAUCCGGUUCAGGGACAGUGCCUGGUGGGUAGUUUAACUGGGGCGGUUGCCUCCCAAAAAGUAACGGAGGCGCCCAAAGGUUCCCUCAACCUGGUUGGCAAUCAGGUGGCGAGUGUAAGUGCACAAGGGAGCUUGACUGUGAGACUGACAGGUCGAGCAGGGACGAAAGUCGGGACUAGUGAUCCGGCAGUGGCUUGUGGAAGCGCUGUCGCUCAACGGAUAAAAGGUACCUCGGGGAUAACAGGCUGAUCUUGCCCAAGAGUCCAUAUCGACGGCAUGGUUUGGCACCUCGAUGUCGGCUCGUCGCAUCCUGGGGCUGGAGUAGGUCCCAAGGGUUGGGCUGUUCGCCCAUUAAAGCGGUACGCGAGCUGGGUUUAGAACGUCGUGAGACAGUUCGGUCCCUAUCCGCUGCGCGCGUAGGAAAUUUGAGAGGAUCUGACCCUAGUACGAGAGGACCGGGUUGGACGAACCUCUGGUGUGCCAGUUGUUCCGCCAGGAGCACCGCUGGUUAGCUACGUUCGGGAUGGAUAACCGCUGAAAGCAUCUAAGCGGGAAGCCGGCCUCAAGAUGAGAUUUCCAUGCCUUCGGGCGAGAGGCUCCCAGCCAGACUACUGGGUUGAUAGGCCGGAUGUGGAAGCGUGGUAACACGUGAAGCUGACCGGUACUAAUAAGCCGAUGACUUGAUAAC